GGUUAAGCGACUAAGCGUACACGGUGGAUGCCCUGGCAGUCAGAGGCGAUGAAGGGCGUGCUAAUCUGCGAUAAGCGCCGGUAAGGUGAUAUGAACCGUUAUAACCGGCGAUACCCGAAUGGGGAAACCCAGUGUGAUUCGUCACACUAUCAUUAACUGAAUCCAUAGGUUAAUGAGGCGAACCGGGGGAACUGAAACAUCUAAGUACCCCGAGGAAAAGAAAUCAACCGAGAUUCCCCCAGUAGCGGCGAGCGAACGGGGAGGAGCCCAGAGCCUGAAUCAGCAUGUGUGUUAGUGGAAGCGUCUGGAAAGGCGCGCGAUACAGGGUGACAGCCCCGUACACAAAAGCGCAUGUGCUGUGAGCUCGAUGAGUAGGGCGGGACACGUGGUAUCCUGUCUGAAUAUGGGGGGACCAUCCUCCAAGGCUAAAUACUCCUGACUGACCGAUAGUGAACCAGUACCGUGAGGGAAAGGCGAAAAGAACCCCGGCGAGGGGAGUGAAAAAGAACCUGAAACCGUGUACGUACAAGCAGUGGGAGCCCCACCACUAAGCCAGUGGUGAACUCCACAUCCGCAUCCUUUGCUGAGGAUACGGUUAACGGAGCGAAAGCGACGUUCAACCGCAAAACAAGCAGAGGGGGCUUAGUGGUGGGGUGACUGCGUACCUUUUGUAUAAUGGGUCAGCGACUUAUAUUCUGUAGCAAGGUUAACCGAAUAGGGGAGCCGGAGGGAAACCGAGUCUUAAUUGGGCGUUAAGUUGCAGGGUAUAGACCCGAAACCCGGUGAUCUAGCCAUGGGCAGGUUGAAGGUUGGGUAACACUAACUGGAGGACCGAACCGACUAAUGUUGAAAAAUUAGCGGAUGACCUGUGGCUGGGGGUGAAAGGCCAAUCAAACCGGGAGAUAGCUGGUUCUCCCCGAAAGCUAUUUAGGUAGCGCCUCGUGAAUUCAUCUCCGGGGGUAGAGCACUGUUUCGGCUAGGGGGCCA
rnacentral:rRNA from 1 species